GCCUGGCAGGGAGUAGGGUGACUUCGAAAGAAGAACUGCAGCGCCCCUUGGGGCUUCUUGGGGCGCCCAGGUAACCUCACCUGACUGCCAGCCCCAGCAGAAGGAGGGGAAGCCCGGAGCAGACGCGUGGGUAUGCAAAAACUGGAUCACUGAACUAGAAGCCAUGUGAGUGCAGGGGCCAUGUUUGUUUUGCCCCAUGGACCCAGAAGAGGAGCUCAGUAAGUUUAGCACCUGAUUGGACACUGUAAAUGUGACAGGAACUCAGAAACUCCUCACAGGCGGACUGUAUUCAUGCUGAGAGUAUGUCUUCUGGCUUCCAGCUACCCUUGCUGGUGAUGAGAUUCCCUGGGCUGCUGACAGAGGUGUGGAACCAUCUCAAUAGAGCCAACUCUGGACUCUGCCAUUUACUUGCAGCAUGAUCUAAGGCAAGGAACCUCUUCAGACACCACUUUUUUCAUCAAUAAAAUGGGUAUAAUAAUAGACCCUA